UCCUGUGAGAUGGGUCUGAACUCACUGGCCACCUCCUUACCCACCCUGAGCCUCUUCACUCCUCUGGGAAACUGAAAUGGUAAUGGGAUGUCCCUCACCAGCGCCGCUGUGAGGACUGAGCGAGAGGCUUUAGCCCACUGGCUCACUUAGUAAGCUCCUGACAAAUGUUAGCCUAACAGAUGAUGAUGAUGAUUAUGGUUUGUUCUUUCCUUUAGAGGUGUUCUUUGACUAAAUAUUUAAAAUUUCUACCUAUUUGUUGUUGUUUUACCCCAUCAUGCUUUUAAAUAAAACUGGUUCCACAGAAAGCAUUGGGCGGCAUCCUCCAUCACUGUGAAUAGGGCUUAGGGAAAGUUGGGUGUCGUUCUACACAGUCAUGGAAAACAGGCUAUAAUAAGAUCAUCUUUCUCCCUGCUUUAUAGAGGUGUCAUAUCAUGAAUUGGUUCAACUAUGUAAAGUGGCACUUGUUUGUUUUUCCAGCGUAUAAUGCAUGUAACUAAUAGAAUCCCCUGCUAUCAGAUGGUUCUGAAAGCUUGCUCAAAGCACAGCAAAAUGAUAAGAUGCCACAGACUUUUUGUGUUACCUACAAUAUCCCUUUUCUUUCAUUUUAUUUUUAUUUUUUUCUUUCAUUUUAAAGAGUAGAUUUCUAGGUCAGAAACUGAAAUGUGUUCAAGGAAUCCCCCCCCCCCCCCCCCCCCAAACCUUUUAUUGAAGGGAGUACUUUGUAGUUUUUCCAAGAGCUGGUGAGGUGGCCACUGCAAUCCCACCUCACUUAUUUGGAGGCAAUGUAUCAGAUAACCUCAGCUACCGAGAACAUACCUGAAGAGUAGGAAAAAGGUCUCUUGAGCUGCCAUAAAAUAUGUCUGAGUAUUUGCUUCAAAAUUUAGGCAGAUGACUCAGAAGCCCCCAGGGUUUUAUCAAAACCAAAUUAUUUCUUAAUUUUAUAAUCCUAUAGAAUCUGUACAGGUUUCUUUUCUUAGUUCUCUUUUCUCCAACCCCCCACACAUUCGAGGCAGAAAACUUGAGGUUUGACAGGUACAGAGUAGAGGGGGUUGGAAUCAAAGGUACAGGAUCAAGGAGCCUCAAGUAGUAUGAAAAGUUCACUGAUGUCCCUGAGGAAGAUGCCUGUGUGACCCGAAUGAGCAAUACAGGUGAAAUUCUUUUCAUUUUAUUCUGUUUGGGAAGGCAGAUACUAUAAAACUUCUAGAACAUUGUCAUCAAUAAAAUUUAAGAAAGAAACCAUGAUUAUAUGGAAUGCUUCACCAUGGGUCCAGAUAUGGGAAUUCGUUCUUUUCUCUGGCAUGAUCUUCAACUAACCAUGGAGUUCCUGGGGCAUACAUCUUAGCUUUUUCAUUUUGAAUGUUUUCUCCUUUGCCUUUCCCCAUUGUGCAUAUGUGAUUCUUCUCAUGUUUUGCCUUAAAGGAAUUCAAAAUAAACGUUUAGAGAGAAAAGAAACUUCAGGUGUCUUGAGUAUUGAAUUUAUCAAUACUAAGCUGUCUUGUUUUUUGUUUUGUUUUAACCCUCCAUUAAUGCUCUCACUCCAAGUACUAGACAAUAACAACAGCCACCAAAAGCAACUGUAUCAGCAUUUAUUUCCCUCCCUUAGCUGUGUUUGUAAACUUAAGGCUAGGUUCUGCAGAGUAUCACUAGAAUCCUGCACCAUACUGUUCUCAUAGAAAGUGCUCACUAAACCUCAAAGCAAUAGUUGGAGAUAGAUACUAUUUUUAUCUCCAUUUACAGAUGGGAGUUUGGAAGGUGAGAGAAAUUGAGUGGCUUGCCUCCAGUCAUACUACCGGAGGGGAGAACCAGAGCUAAUAUUGGCUCUUGGUCCAUGGUGCCAACUCUGGUAGCUGGGAAGCUCACAUGAGCUUGGUAUUCCUGGAUCCCUGAUUCCACUUCUUUGUAAUGUAUAAGCAUUGAAUUCCUGUUUCUUAAUUGACAAAAAGUUAAAAAAAGAAAAAAAAGGACUGAUUGGAAUCCUUUAUUAAACCUCUUUGGUUGAUUGAAUUGGCAUAACUGUCUAGCUCAAAGAAAAUGAACUAUUUUAGAAAGCACAGAGAUUUCAUGAUCCCCUCCCCCCGCCCCCAUUCACCUACUCUUUUAUUUUUUUUAGUUUGACAGAAUUCUUAGGUUGUAUACUGAAAAGCCUAUGGGUUAAAGCUAAUCUGUAUGUUUAAAAUGAUGCAUUGACAAUCCUUCUUUUGCUUUUCCUUUUUUUAACUUUUUAGAGGGUUGACAACUUUAAAAGAAAUGGCAUGUUUCUUUAACCCCAAGAACAUUUUAUUUAAAUUUAGUCACUGGUUUGGAGAAAGAAUAAACAGAACCUUCACUUAAAUGUUCCCGUGUCUUAGAAGAAUGAAUGGGUAGUGAUAUGAUUUAUAGCUGGCGUAAGAAUAAAGAAGAUAAAAGAAAAUUGAAACCCAAAAUUAUUGGUUUCAGCAGAGUAUUUCUGAUUUAAUUCUGAACUGUGAAUACAGUUUACGCUUUGCUUAAAUUUUUCUUGCCAGGUUGUGGAAGCAAAUCUCUACCUUUUGUAUAACAUGCAGCUUAAUUGAAUGCUCAUUGUCUAUAUAGAUAACUUAAACCGUAUUUACAUCUGGCACUGUGCCUCAAUAUCUGUUGAUUGAAUAAAUAGAAGAAUGAAUGAAUGAAACUCAUUUGAAAAGGAAGACAUUGAUAUGUUAGCAUUUAUAUCAUGUGAAGUGGGUAUAUUUUUAUAAAAGUUAGUGAUAAAAGGAAUAGUGCAAACUCCUAAAAAGCUUUUGGUGCCGUGGACACCAGCACCUUGCUACAAAAAAAUCCAGGCAUGAACAGUGGAAUAGGUCAGGUUAAUGAAUUCCCCCUAAGAAUCUAAUAUUUUCCCAGGGGCCCCAAGGGUCAGCUUUGUAUUGAAUGCAGAUUAUCUUUCAUGGUGUUCAUUUAAAUGCUUUGUAACAUAUUUAGUAAUUGAAAACAGAGAUUUCAAUUGAACAAUGGUUUCACUUUCUGUUUAUAUGAGUGCAUUUACUGUUGUUUACGACUUACCCCUUCUCAUGUCUGAAUUUCAACCAUGGGUUUCCCAAAGCUUAGUUCUAGAAAACAGUUGGAUUUUUUCACCUUAUCACACAAUGUUUGGCUCCAGAGUAUUGAAAACCUUCUGUUAUGAUGUUUAAAACUGUCACCUGUUAAUAAAAACCUUCUUGUGGGUUUAAAAAUACACAUUCUUUGUGUUUUUUUUUUUAUAGUAAUCAUGGGAGAAGGUCACACAGACUUAUUUCAUGGAGGUUGCCCACUGAGCAAAACCUUUUUUUUCUGUUUCUCUUUAUGAAUUUGAGUUAUUUGAAUCUUUCCAACAGUAGCAGAUCUUCAUUCUUCGGGAUAAUUGGAUUUAUUUUAAACCAGCCCAGAAUCAUUUGGAAUCACUUUAUUAAGGUGGACAU
rnacentral:lncRNA from 1 species